AAAGGCAGCACACCACACUAAAUGAAGCCGCAGCUUCGAAUGGCCAGGGAGGAUUUCAUGGAUAUAGUGACUAUUGUGGAUUUAAAUGACUGGUUGUCUUUAAAAUGCAUUUUCAGCAUGAAAUUUGUUUUUGUGACAUGUAAUAUGAUCAUUGGCAAAUUCGAAAACAUGGUUAGAAAUCACAUGCUGAUAAUUAUUGAUGUCAAGGUCGCCAUUGUUUGUAAACAUUGCUUUUAAACAGCAUGCUCGGUGAAAAAAAGUAGUUUUACAGGGGGGUACAAACUUUCAGCAAUAACAAAAAAUCUACAAGGCCAAGCACCUAUUUCUUUGUGAUAUUUUGCAUGCACAGGGAGUUGCUAAAGCAGUGACAGAGUUUUUGUAGACCGUAUAUUUGCAGGUUGUGUAGUUUGGGAUCAGAUUUAUCAGACAUAUUGCUUGUAGGACAUUGACGGCAGAAACUUGAAAUUUAGUGUGGAGUGCUACCAAA